GAUGAACGCUGGCGGCGUGCUUAACACAUGCAAGUCGAACGGUAAGGCCCCUUCGGGGGUACACGAGUGGCGAACGGGUGAGUAACACGUGGGCAAUCUGCCCUUCUCUCCGGGAUAACUCAGGGAAACUUGAGCGAAUACCGGAUACUCCGGGACGAUCGCAUGGUCGACCCGGGACAGCUCCGACGGAGAAGGAUGAGCCCGCGGCCCAUUAGCUUGUGGUUGAGGUAACGGCUCACCACGGCGGCGAUGGGUAGCCGAGCUGAGAGGCUGAUCGGCCACACUGGGACUGAGACACGGCCCAGACUCCUACGGGAGGCAGCAGUGGGGAAUCUUGCGCAAUGGGCGAAAGCCUGACGCAGCAACGCCGCGUGCGGGAUGACGGCCUUCGGGUUGUAAACCGCUUUCAGCAGGGACGAAACUGACGGUACCUGCAGAAGAAGCCCCGGCUAACUCCGUGCCAGCCGCCGCAGUAAAAC
rnacentral:rRNA from 1 species